UAGGGAAUCUUCCACAAUGGACGAAAGUCUGAUGGAGCAACGCCGCGUGAGUGAUGAAGGGUUUCGGCUCGUAAAACUCUGUUGUUGGAGAAGAACGGGUGUCAGAGUAACUGUUGACAUCGUGACGGUAUCCAACCAGAAAGCCACGGCUAACUACGUGCCAGCAGCCGCGGUAAUACGUAGGUGGCAAGCGUUGUCCGGAUUUAUUGGGCGUAAAGCGAGCGCAGGCGGUUUUUUAGGUCUGAUGUGAAAGCCUUCGGCUUAACCGGAGAAGUGCAUCGGAAACCGGGAGACUUGAGUGCAGAAGAGGACAGUGGAACUCCAUGUGUAGCGGUGAAAUGCGUAGAUAUAUGGAAGAACACCAGUGGCGAAGGCGGCUGUCUGGUCUGCAACUGACGCUGAGGCUCGAAAGCAUGGGUAGCGAACAGGAUUAGAUACCCUGGUAGUCCAUGCCGUAAACGAUGAGUGCUAAGUGUUGGAGGGUUUCCGCCCUUCAGUGCUGCAGUUAA
rnacentral:rRNA from 1 species